CCGACUGAGCCACCCAGGCGCCCCAACACAGCCUUGUUUUCUAAGCACAAAUCACCCACAUCCAGGUAGCUAUGGACACAAAAUGUUGAGGUGGGACUUGGGCAAAUAUGUAAGGAGAGGAAUUGGACAACGCCAGAGACCUCUUUCCUCCAAUUGUAUGAUGUCUUCUACUUUUUGAUGCCUUAAGGACUUUGAAUAGAGGUGAAGUUCAGAAUGUUGGUGAUUUAAGAGCUUUUGAGUGUCAAGAGUUAUAGUUAGGGCAUAUGGUCAGGGUGCCUGGCUGACUCAGUCAGUGGAGCAUGCGAUUCUUGAUCUUGAGGGCGUGAGUUUGAGCCCCACGGUGGGGUUAGAGAUUACUUAAAAAUAAAUAAAUAAACUUAAAAAAAUAAUAUGUAUUGUUAGUUGGUCAGUUAUAACAUGUAUGUCUGACACAUAGCCAUCCCAACCUCUUUCUUCCUUGAGUUGCUUCCUCCGGAGAAGCUGAAAAGUGAGAUCUCCACUUACCUACCUGACCAUCCUUGUAGCUAGAGGCAGUCUUGUGACCCGGUUCGGGUCAAGGAGCUAUAAGGAGGUGUAUGACAGAAUCUUUUGCAAAACUUUUUCCCUUACAGGGAGACAGCUGAGGAAACGUUCUUUUAUUGUUAGUUGCUGCCCCUCUUCCACUGCUUCCUGUUUUGGAGUUCUGUUGCAGUGUUGGAAGCUGCAGCAACCGUUUCGUAGUCAUGAGGCCUCAAGCACAAAGAUGCAAAACCAACACGUGGAAGAUGGUGGACAAGGAAAGACAGAAAGAGCCUGGCUUCUUGGGGAGCCUGGGGCUGCCGUAACGAAAUACCACGCACUGGGCGGCUUCAACAACGGAAAUCAAUUUCCUCGUGGUUCUGGAGGCUGGAAGUUCAAGAUCAAGGUGUUGGAGGGCUGGUGUCUCCUGGAACCUCUCUCCCCUUGGCUUGUAGAUGGCCACUUCUCCCUGUGCAUUCACGGGGUCUCCCCUCCACACCAGGGCAUGUGGAAUGAUCCAGGAUAACCCCCCAUCUCAAGAUUUCCAACUUAAUUACACCUGCAAAGUCCUUUUUGCCAUAUAAGCCAAUCAGAUUGCUUCCUCCGAGCCCUGCUGCGUGGUCAUCCCAAAGCUGCACCAGUUAUGCGUUUGAGGACUCAUCUUAAAGAAGAGCCUUGGAACGAGGCAGCCAAAGAAAUCAUGUUGACAUCAGGAAGGCUUAGGUGUGAAUGACUCCGGUGUUUCAUUAAAUCCCGCCGGGCAUAAUGCCCUGUUUGUUUU